GGUUGAACUUGAGUUUGUGGGGUUUUUUGAAGUUGAGUUUGUGGUGUUUGGUGACCUUCAGUUUGCGUGUUGGGUGAACUUGAAUUCGGUGUUUUUGAACUUGAGUUUGUGUGUUGGUUGAACUUGAGUUUGUGUUGUGUUUGAACUUGAGUUCGUGUUGUUUUCUCAACUUGAGUAUGAGUGUUUUUUUAACAUGAGGUUGUGAAAAUUUUUAAACUUGUGUAUCAGGUGUUGGUUGAACUUGAGUUUGUGGGGUUUUUUGAACUUGAGUUUGUGUCGUGUUUGAACUUGAGUAUGUGGUGUUUUUGAACUUGAGUCUGUGGUGUUUUUGAACUUGAGGGUUUGGAAUAUGUUAAAAUGGAGAAUUGGGUGUUGGUUUAACUUGAGUUAGUGUCUUGUUUGAACUUGAGUUUGUGUUGUUUGUUGAACUUGAGUUUGUGUGUUUUUUGAACUUGAGGUUGUGUCGUGUUUGAGUAUGUGGUGUUUUUGAACUUGAGUUUGUUUUUUGUUUGAACUUGAGUUUUUCGUGUUUUUUAACUUGAGUUUGUGUCGUUUUUGAACUUGAGUAUGUGGUGUUUGGUGAACUUGAGUUUGCGCGUUUGGUGAACUUGAGUUGGUGUGUCUUUUGAACUUGAGUUUCUGUCGUUCUUGAACUUGGGGUUGUGGAAAUUGUUAAACUUGAGAAUCAGGUGUUGGUUUAACUUGAGUUUGUGUUUGUUGAACUUGAGUUUGUGUGUUGGUUGAACUUGAGUUUGUGUGUUGGUUGAACUUGAGUUUGUGUUGUGUUUGAACUUGAGUUCGUGUUUUUUGUUGAACUUGAGUUUGUGUGUUUUUUUAACAUGAGGUUGUGAAAAUUUUAAAACUUGUGAAUCAGGUGUUGGUUGAACUUGAGAUUGUGGGGUUUUUUGAAGUUGAGUUUGUGGUGUUUGGUGAACUUCAGUUUGCGUGUUGGGUGAACUUGAGUUUGUGUGUUGGUUGAACUUGAGUUUGUGUGUUGGUUAAACUUGAGUUUGUGUGUUGGUUGAACUUGAGUUUGUGUUGUGUUUGAACUUGAGUUCGUGUUGUUUGUUGAACUUGAGUUUGUGUGUUUUUUUAACAUGAGGUUGUGAAAACUUUUAAACUUUUGAAUCAGGUGUUGGUUGAACUUGAGUUUGUGGGGUUUUUUGAAGUUGAGUUUGUGGUGUUUGGUGACCUUCAGUUUGCGUGUUGGGUGAACUUGAAUUCGGUGUUUUUGAACUUGAGUUUAUGUGUUGGUUGAACUUGAGUUUGUGUUGUGUUUGAACUUGAGUUCGUGUUGUUUUUUGAACUUGAGUUUGUGUGUUUUUUUAACAUGAGGUUGUGAAAAUUUUUAAACUUGUAUUAGGUGUUGGUUGAACUUGAGUUUGUGGGGUUUUUUGAACUUGAGUUUGUGUCGUGUUUAAACUUGAGUAUGUGGUGUUUUUGAACUUGAGUCUGUGUUGUUUUUGAACUUGAAGUUGUGGAAAUUUUUAAACUUGAGAAUUGGGUAUUGGUUGAACUUGAGUUUUUGGUGUUUUUGAAUUUGAGUUUGUGUCGUGUUUGAACUUGAGUUUGUGGUGUUUGUUGAACUUGAGUUUGUGUCGUGUUUUAACUUGAGUUUGUGGUGUUUUUGAACUUGAGGAUGUGAAAUAUCUUAAAAUUGAGAAUUGGGUGUUGGUUGAACUUGAGUUUGUGUCGUGUUUGAACUUGAGUUUGUGUUGUUUGUUGAACUUGAGUUUGUGUGUUUUUUAACAGAAGGUUGUGAAAAUUUUUAAACUUGUGAAUCAGGUGUUGCUUGAACUUGAGAAUUGGGUGUUGGUUGAACUUGAGUUUGUGUUGUGUUUGAACUUGAGGUUGUGUCGUGUUUGAAAUUGAGUAUGUGGUGUUUUUGAACUUGAGUUUGUUUUUUUUUUAACUUGAGUUUUUGGUGUUUGUUGAACUUGAGGGUGUGAAAUAUCUUAAAAUUGAGAAUUGGGUGUUUGUUGAAUUUGAGUUUGUGUUUUUUGAACAUGAGGUUGUGAAAAUUUUUAAACCUGAGAAUCAGGUGUUGGUUGAACUUGAGUUUGAGGGUUUUUUUUAACUUGAGUUUGUGUUGUGUUUAAACUUGAGUAUGUGGUGUUUUUGAACCAGAGUUUGUGUGUUGGUUGAACUUGAGUUUGUGUUGUGUUUGAACUUGAGUUAGUGGUGUUUUUGAACCUGAGUUUGUUUUUUUUUUAACUUGAGUUUUUGGUGUUUGUUGAACUUGAGUUUGUGGUGUUCUUGAACUUGAGGGUGUGAAAUAUCUUAAAAUUGAGAAUUGGGUGUUGGUUGAACUUGAGUUUGUGUUGUGUUUGAACUUGAGUUCGUGUUGUUUGUUGAAUUUGAGUUUGUGUUUUUUGAACAUGAGGUUGUGAAAAUUUUUAAACCUGAGAAUCAGGUGUUGGUUGAACUUGAGUUUGAGGGUUUUUUUUAACUUGAGUUUGUGUUGUGUUUAAACUUGAGUAUGUGGUGUUUUUGAACCUGAGUUUGUGUUUUGGUUGAACUUGAGUUUGUGUGAUUGUUGAACUUGAGUUUGUGUUGUGUUUGAACUUGAGUUUGUGGUGUUUGUUGAACUUGAGUUUUUUGUCGUGUUUGAACUUGAGUUUGUGUGAUUGUUGAACUUGAGUUUGUGUUGUGUUUGAACUUGAGUUUGUGGUGUUUUUUGAACUUGAGGUUGUGUCGUGUUUGCAAUUGAGUUUGUGUUGUUUUUGAACUUGAGUUUGUGGUGUUUUUGAACUUGAGUUUGUGUGUUUGUUGAACUUGAGUUUGUGUUGUGUUUGAACUUGAGUUUGUGGUGUUUGUUGAACUUGAGUUUUUUGCCGUGUUUGCAAUUGAGUUUGUGUUGUUUUUGAACUUGAGUUUGUGGUGUUUUUGAACUUGAGUUUGUGUGUUUGUUGAACUUGAGUUUGUGUUGUAUUUGACCUUGAGUUUCGUGUUUGAACUUGAAUUUGGGAUUUUUGUUGAACUUGAGUUUGUGUCGUGUUUUAACUUGAGUUUGUGGGUUUUUUUAAGUUUAAGGUGUGGAAUUGAUUGAACUUGAGGUUGUGGCAAUUUUUAUACUUGAGUUUGUGUUUUUGUUGAACUUGAGUUUGUGUCCUUUUUGAACUUGAGUUUGUGUCAUGUUUGAACUUGAGUUUUUUUUUAUUUGAACUUAAGUUUGUGUUGUUUUUGAAUAUGAGUUUGUGGUGUUUUUAAACUUGAGUUUGUUUCGGUUUUGAACUUGAGUUUGUGGUGUUUUUAAACUUGAGUUUGUGUGUUUGUCCAACUUGAGUUUGUAUCGUGUUUGACCUUGAGUUUGUGGUUUGUUUGAACUUGAGUUUUGUGUUUGUUGAACUUGAGGUUGUGGUGUUUUUGAACUUGAGUCUGGGUUUUUUUUACCUUGAGGUUUUGGAAAUUGUUAAACUUGAGAAUUGGGUAUUGGUUAAACUUGAGGUUUUCGUGUUUUUUAACUUGAGUUUGUGUCGUGUUUGAACUUGAGUUUGUGGUGUUUGGUGAACUUGAGUUUGCGUGUUUGGUGAACUUGAGUUCGUGUUGUUUGUUGAACUUGAGUUUCUGUUUUUUUUUAACUUAAGGUUGUGAAAAUUGUUAAACUUUAGAACUGGGUAUUGGUUGAACUUGAGGUUUUCGUGUUUUUUAACUUGAGUUUGUGUCGUGUUUGAAGUUCAGUUUGUGGUGUUUGGUGAACUUGAGUUUGCGUUUUUGGUGAACUUGAGUUUGUGUUGUUUGUUGAACUUGAAUUUCUGUUGUUUUUGAACUUGAGGUUGUGGAAAUUGUUAAACUUGAGAAUCAGGUGUUGGUUGAACUUGAGUUUGUGUGUUUGUUGAACUUGAGUUUGUGGUGUUCUUGAACUUGAGGGUGUGAAAUAUCUUAAAAUUGAGAAUUGGGUGUUGGUUGAACUUGAGUUUGUGUUGUGUUUGAACUUGAGUUCGUGUUGUUUGUUGAAUUUGAGUUUGUGUUUUUUGAACAUGAGGUUGUGAAAAUUUUUAAACCUGAGAAUCAGGUGUUGGUUGAACUUGAGUUUGAGGGUUUUUUUUAACUUGAGUUUGUGUUGUGUUUAAACUUGAGUAUGUGGUGUUUUUGAACCUGAGUUUGUGUGUUGGUUGAACUUGAGUUUGUGUGAUUGUUGAACUUGAGUUUGUGUUGUGUUUGAACUUGAGUUUGUGGUGUUUGUUGAACUUGAGUUUUUUGUCGUGUUUGAACUUGAGUUUGUGUGAUUGUUGAACUUGAGUUUGUGUUGUGUUUGAACUUGAGUUUGUGGUGUUUGUUGAACUUGAGUUUUUUGUCGUGUUUGCAAUUGAGUUUGUGUUGUUUUUGAACUUGAGUUUGUGGUGUUUUUGAACUUGAGUUUGUGUGUUUGUUGAACUUGAGUUUGUGUUGUGUUUGAACUUGAGUUUGUGGUGUUUGUUGAACUUGAGUAUUUUGCCGUGUUUGCAAUUGAGUUUGUGUUGUUUUUGAACUUGAGUUUGUGGUGUUUUUGAACUUGAGUUUGUGUGUUUGUUGAACUUGAGUUUGUGUUGUAUUUGACCUUGAGUUUCGUGUUUGAACUUGAAUUUGGGAUUUUUGUUGAACUUGAGUUUGUGUCGUGUUUUAACUUGAGUUUGUGGGUUUUUUUAAGUUUAAGGUGUGGAAUUGAUUGAACUUGAGGUUGUGGCAAUUUUUAUACUUGAGUUUGUGUUUUUGUUGAACUUGAGUUUGUGUCCUUUUUGAACUUGAGUUUGUGUCAUGUUUGAACUUGAGUUUUUGUGUUAUUUGAACUUAAGUUUGUGUUGUUUUUGAAUAUGAGUUUGUGGUGUUUUUAAACUUGAGUUUGUUUCGGUUUUGAACUUGAGUUUGUGGUGUUUUUAAACUUGAGUUUGUGUGUUUGUCCAACUUGAGUUUGUAUCGUGUUUGACCUUGAGUUUGUGGUUUGUUUGAACUUGAGUUUUGUGUUUGUUGAACUUGAGGUUGUGGUGUUUUUGAACUUGAGUCUGGGUUUUUUUUACCUUGAGGUUUUGGAAAUUGUUAAACUUGAGAAUUGGGUAUUGGUUAAACUUGAGGUUUUCGUGUUUUUUAACUUGAGUUUGUGUCGUGUUUGAACUUGAGUUUGUGGUGUUUGGUGAACUUGAGUUUGCGUGUUUGGUGAACUUGAGUUCGUGUUGUUUGUUGAACUUGAGUUUCUGUUGUUUUUGAACUUAAGGUUGUGAAAAUUGUUAAACUUUAGAACUGGGUAUUGGUUGAACUUGAGGUUUUCGUGUUUUUUAACUUGAGUUUGUGUCGUGUUUGAAGUUCAGUUUGUGGUGUUUGGUGAACUUGAGUUUGCGUUUUUGGUGAACUUGAGUUUGUGUUGUUUGUUGAACUUGAAUUUCUGUUGUUUUUGAACUUGAGGUUGUGGAAAUUGUUAAACUUGAGAAUCAGGUGUUGGUUGAACUUGAGUUUGUGUGUUUGUUGAACUUGAGUUUGUGUCCCGUUUGAAUUUGAGUUUGUGGUGUUUUUGAACUUGAGUUUGUUUGUUUGUUUAACUUGAGUUUCUGUUGUGUUUGAACUUGAGUUUGUUUGUUUGUUUAACUUGAGUUUCUGUUGUGUUUGAACUUGAGUUUUUGGUGUUUGUUGAACUUGAGUUCGUGUUGUUUGUUGAACUUGAGUUUGUGUGUUUUUUGAACCUGUGGUUGUGAAAAUGUAUAAACUUUAGAAUCAGGUGUUGGUUGAACUUGAGUUUGUGGUUUUUGUUGAACUUGAGUUUGUGUCGUGUUUGAACUUGAGUUUGUGUCGUUUUUGAACUUCAGUCAGUGUUGUUUUUGAACUUGAGGUUGUGGAAAUUGUUAAACUUUAGAAUUGGGUAUUGGUUGAACUUGAGUUUGUGUGUUUGUUGAACUUGAGUUUGUGUAUUGUUUGAACUUGAGGUUUUGUCGUGUUUGAACUUGAGUUUGUGGUGUUUUUGAACUUGAGUUUUUGGUGUUUUUGAACUUAAGUUUGUGGCAAAUGUUAAACUUGAGAUUUGGGUGUUGGUUGAACUUGAGUUUGUGUCAUGUUUGAACUUGAGGUUGUGGAAAUUGUUAAACUUGAGAAUUGGGUAUUGGCUGAACUUGAGGUUGUGGAAAUUGUUAAACUUGAGUUUGUGGUUUUUGUCGAACUUGAGUUUUUGUCGUGUUUGA
rnacentral:lncRNA from 1 species